ensembl:lncRNA
AUGGAUGAUGGAGGGAUGGAUGGAUGGAUGGAUCCAUGGAUGUCCUUCCUCUCAUUCCCAUGGGUCUUUUCUCCUUUCCCUCAUUCCCAGGGGUCUCCCCCUCUCAUCCCAAGGCUGCUCCUCCUCCCCUUCCCAAACCUUCUCCUCUCCUCAUUCCCAGACUUCUCCCUCUCCUCUCCCUCAUUCCCAGGAUUCUUUCUUCUCUCAUUCCCAGAGUUUUCCCUUCUUUCCCUCAUUCCCAGGAUUGUUCCUCCUCCUCAUCCCAAACCUUUUCCUCCUCAUCCCCAGCCUUCUUCCUCUCCUCAUUCCCAGACUUCUCCCUCUCCUCUCCCUCAUUCCCAGGGGUUUCCCCCCUCUCAUCCCAAACCCUUCCCUCUCCGUUUUCCCGGGAUUUUGGCAGUUCCCACCUUCCUCUGCUCCUUCCUCAGGACGUGUUUGUCCUCGUCCUUCCAGAGCUCAUCCUCCAGCUCCUGCUGCCGCCGCGCCUCCGCCGCCGCCUUGGCCUCGGCCCUGCGGGCGCGCGCCGCCGCCGACUUGCUGUUCUCCCCCUGGAAUUUCUUGGGCAUCCCUCAAAUCCUCUGGAAAACCGGGGUGGGGAAAAGAAAAGUUGCUCCAGGAUGUUUUUUUGGGGUUUUUUUUCCCCUAAAAUCUGGGGUUUUGUUUCGUUACGGAGCCGGGUUUGGGGCUGGGAUCGUUGGGAAUCCGCCGGGAUGGGGAUUCCGAGGUUUGCGUUCCUUGCUCCCUCGGGAAUUUUACAGCCUCUUCCUGGGAAUUCUGCAGCCCUUUCCCAGCUCCUUCAGGAAUUCUCCAGACCCUCAGGAAUUCUCCAGACCCUUUCCAGAUCCCUCAGGAAUUCUCCAGACCCUUCCCAGAUCCCUCAGGAAUUCUCCAGACCCUUUCCAGAUCCCUCAGGAAUUCUCCAGACCCUCCUUAGAUCCCUCAGGAAUUCUCCAGACCCUCCUUAGAUCCCUCAGGAAUUCUCCAGACCCUUUCCAGAUCCCUCAGGAAUUCUCCAGACCCUUCCCAGAUCCCUCAGGAAUUCUCUAGACCCUUCCCAGUUUCCCUCAGGAAUUCUCCAGCCCCUUCCUGGGAAUUCUCCAGCCCCUCCCCCUGGAGUUUGCAUCCUUGGAAACCUCCAGGGAUGAGGAUUCCGAACUUCCCUGGGCAAUUCCAAGGCCUUUUCCAUGAGGAAAUUCCUGCUGGAGCACCCUGAGGCCAUUCCCUGCUGUCCCCUGGGAGAGGAGCCCCUCCUGGCAGGGAAUUCUGGAGAUUGGGAAUGUCCCCUACAACCUGACCCAAUCCCUGGAAAAGCUGGAGCCCCUUCCCAGUUUCCCUCAGGAAUUCUCCAGACCCUUCCCAGGAGUUCUCCAGACCAUUCCCAGUUUCCCUCAGGAAUUCUCCAGCCCCUUCCCAGCUCCCUCAGGAAUUCUCCAGACCAUUCCCAGUUUCCCUCAGGAAUUCUCCAGCCCCUUCCCAGCUCCUCAGGAAUUCUCCAGACCAUUCCCAGCUCCCUCAGGAAUUCUCCAGAGCCUUCCCAGCUCCUCAGGAAUUCUCCAGCCCUUUCCCAGUUUCCCUUGGUAAUUCUUCAGACCAUUCCCAGCUCCCUCAGGAAUUCUCCAGCCCCUCAGGAAUUUUCCAGACCCUUCCCAGGAAUUCUCCAGACCAUUCCCAGCUCCUCAGGAAUUCUCCAGCCUCUCCUUAGAUCCCUCAGGAAUUCUCCAGCCUUUUCCCAGCUCUCUCAGGAAUUCUCCAGCCCCUUCCCAGUUUCCCUCAGGAUUUCUCCAGCCCCUUCCCCAGAUUUUGGGGAUUUGGGGGGUGAAAGUCCCCAAAACCCAGCACUGCAGAGGGGAAAAACCGUGAUCACCCCACCUGAUUUAUGCUGGAUUUAUCCCAACCUCAGAUCGGGAUAAAUCCCCCGGAUUUCCUCAGUUUCCAGGUCCUGGCUGAUCCCAAAGGAAUCUGCACCCCUCCCAUGCCAAAUCCCAGCCUCCCACCCCAUGGAAAAGGCGCCUGGAAAUCCAAAAAAAACCCGGAUCCAGGAAAAAAC